rnacentral:rRNA from 1 species
GACGGGGGAUGCAAGUGUUAUCCGGAAUCACUGGGCGUAAAGCGUCUGCAGGUGGUUUCCUAAGUCCACUGUUAAACCUUGAGGCUCAACCUCAAAUCUGCAUUGGAAACUAGGAGACUUGAGUAUAGUAGGGGUAGAGGGAAUUUCCAGUGGAGCGGUGAAAUGCGUAGAUAUUGGAAAGAACACCGAUGGCGAAGGCACUCUACUGGGCUAUUACUGACACUCAGAGACGAAAGCUAGGGGAGCAAACGGG